GACGAACGCUGGCGGCGUGCCUAAUACAUGCAAGUCGAGCGAUGAUUAAAGAUAGCUUGCUAUUUUUAUGAAGAGCGGCGAACGGGUGAGUAACGCGUGGGAAAUCUGCCGAGUAGCGGGGGACAACGUUCGGAAACGAACGCUAAUACCGCAUAACAAUGAGAAUCGCAUGAUUCUUAUUUAAAAGAAGCAAUUGCUUCACUACUUGAUGAUCCCGCGUUGUAUUAGCUAGUUGGUAGUGUAAAGGACUACCAAGGCGAUGAUACAUAGCCGACCUGAGAGGGUGAUCGGCCACACUGGGACUGAGACACGGCCCAGACUCCUACGGGAGGCAGCAGUAGGGAAUCUUCGGCAAUGGGGGCAACCCUGACCGAGCAACGCCGCGUGAGUGAAGAAGGUUUUCGGAUCGUAAAACUCUGUUGUUAGAGAAGAACGUUAAGUAGAGUGGAAAAUUACUUAAGUGACGGUAUCUAACCAGAAAGGGACGGCUAACUACGUGCCAGCCGCCGCAGUAA
rnacentral:rRNA from 1 species